GGAAAUCUAGGGCUAAUACAUGCUAAAAGCGCUGACUAUUGGGGGGGUAGCAAUAUCUUCUUGGUUCGGAAGGCGUGAAUUUAUUAGAUUAAAAAACCAAUGUGGGGUUCGCUCCACUAUAUUUUCCUAGACGAUUCAUGAUAACGCAAUCGAAUCGCGGCUUUACGUUGCGAUGAUACAUACGAAUUUCUGCCCUAUCAACUUUCGAUGGUUGGAUAGAGGCCAACCAUGGUCGUAACGGGUAACGGAGAAUUAGGGUUCGAUUCCGGAGAUGGAGCCUGAGAGAUGGCUACAACUUCCACGGAAGGCAGCAGGCGCGCAAAUUACCCAAUCCCGAUACGGGGAGGUAGUGACAUGAAAUACCGAUGCACGGCCCUACAGGGUCGUGAUGUUGGAAUGAGUACAAUUUAAACCCCUUAACAAGGAACAAUUGGAGGGCAAGUCUGGUGCCAGCAGCCGCGGUAAUUCCAGCUCCAAUAGCGUAUAUGAAAGUUGUUGCAGUUAAAAAGCUCGUAGUUGGAUUUCGGAUUGCUCAGAUUGUGGUCCGCCGAAACGGCGUGUACCGCGCUUGGGUAUCCUUCCUUGGGGACAAAAGUAGGUAGUUUUAGGGGGUCAUCAAGCAAUUGGUGGCUUUCUGGGAUUAUCCACUCCCCAUCGUUUACUUUGAGAAAAUUAGAGUGUUCAAAGCAGGCGUAACCCAGCCUUGAAUACUGUAGCAUGGAAUGAUAAAACAAGACGAGAGUCUUAUUUUGUUGGUUUCUAGGGCUUUUGUAAUGAUUAAAAGGGACAGUUGGGGGCAUUUGUAUUCAGUUGUCAGAGGUGAAAUUCUAGGAUUAACUGAAGACAAACUACUGCGAAAGCAUUUGCCAAGGAUGUUUUCAUUAAUCAAGAACGAAAGUAGGGGGAUCGAAGAUGAUCAGAUACCGUCGUAGUCUCUACCAUAAACUAUGCCGACCAAGGAUUCGGAGAAGUUACGUGGAUGACUCCCCGAGCACUUUGUGAGAAAUCAUCAAGUCGUUGGGUUCCGGGGGGAGUAUGGUCGCAAGGCUGAAACUUAAAGGAAUUGACGGAAGGACACCACCAGGCGUGGAACCUGCGGCUUAAUUUGACCCAACACGGGAAAACUUACCAG
rnacentral:rRNA from 1 species